rnacentral:rRNA from 1 species
GGAAUAUUGGUCAAUGGACGCAAGUCUGAACCAGCCAUGCCGCGUGCAGGAUGACGGUCCUAUGGAUUGUGAACUGCUUUUGUACGAGAAGAAACACUCCGACGUGUCGGAGCUUGACGGUAUCGUAAGAAUAAGGAUCGGCGAACUCCGGGCCAGCAGCCGCGGUAAUACGGAGGAUCCAAGCGUUAGCCGGAAUCAUUGGGUUUAAAGGGUCCGUGGGCGGUUUAGUAAGCCAGUGGUGAAAGCCCAUCGCUCAACGGUGGAACGGCCAUUGAUACUGCUAGACUUGAAUUAUUAGGAAGCAACUAGAAUAUGUAGUGUAGCGGUGAAAUGCUUAGAGAUUACAUGGAAUACCAAUUGCGAAGGCAGGUUACUACUAAUGGAUUGACGCUGAUGGACGAAAGCGUGGGUAGCGA